rnacentral:rRNA from 1 species
GUCAGCAGUCAUACCACCUGAAGUCCAGACUAGUAAUCCACCUGAAACUAAGCAGGUUUGGGCCUGGCCAGUACAUGUAAGGGAGAUCAACUAGGAAAGCUGUUGGAAGAGGUGUUGGUG